rnacentral:rRNA from 1 species
UACGAAGGGGCUAGCGUUGCUCGGAAUCACUGGGCGUAAAGGGUGCGUAGGCGGGUCUUUUAAGUCAGGGGUGAAAUCCUGGAGCUCAACUCCAGAACUGCCUUUGAUACUGAGGAUCUUGAGUUCGGGGAGAGGUGAGUGGAACUGCGAGUGUAGAGGUGAAAUUCGUAGAUAUUCGCAAGAACACCAGUGGCGAAGGCGGCUCACUGGCCCCGAU